rnacentral:rRNA from 1 species
AUGCGUCUAAAUAUUGAACCUCUAUGUUUAAGGUGUUCUUUUCCCAUGCAUGCAGGGUCAAAGCGUAGACGCCGCAAGCUGGUAUCUCGCAUUUGGGAGGAGGCCGUGCCAAUCUAUGAGGGUCGAAUGCUUGUGGAAGGCCAGUGUAAUCAUUGCCAACAAAUUUUUCCGGCCACACGAGACAGUGGGACCAGCCACUUACGUCGGCACUUGAAGGUAUGCCCAAUGAAAACUGCAAUGAAUGAAAUGAUUGAUAAGUUGGGUCCUCCUGAGGUGGUAGAUCCUAAUUGGAAAAUUUGA